UGAGUACGAGAUGCUACGGCGUCGAAGCAGUCUAUGUCAUACUUCCAAGAAAAGCUUGCACUGUCAUAAACAAAGAAUGCCUGUACCAUAACCGACACAGGUGGGUAGGUAGAGUAUACUAAGGGGCGCGAGAUAACUCUCUCUAAGGAACUCGGCAAAAUGACUCCGUAACUUCGGGAGAAGGAGUGCCUUAUUUCUAAGGUUGCAAUAACAAGAUCCAAGCAACUGUUUACCAAAAACACAGGUCUCCGCUAAGUCGUAAGACGAUGUAUGGGGGCUGACGCCUGCCCAGUGCCAGAAGGUUAAAGAAGUUGGUUAGCAUUAGCGAAGCUGAUAACUGAAGCCCUGGUGAACGGCGGCCGUAACCAUAACGGUCCUAAGGUAGCGAAAUUCCUUGUCGGGUAAGUUCCGACCCGCACGAAAGGCGUAAUGAUUUGGAUACUGUCUCGGAGAGGGGCUCGGUGAAAUAGACUUGUCUGUGAAGAUGCGGACUACCUGCACCUGGACAGAAAGACCCUAUGAAGCUUUACUGUAACUUGAGAUUGAAAUUGGACUUUAUUUGCGCAGUAUAGGUGGGAGGCGUUGAGAAUAAUCUUGCGGGAUUGUUGGAGCCAUCAGUGAGAUACCACUCUUGUAAUGUUAGAUUUCUAACUUUGUAUCAUUAUCUGGUCAAAGAACAGUUUCAGGCGGGCAGUUUGACUGGGGCGGUCGCCUCCCAAAGGGUAACGGAGGCGCACAAAGGUUUCCUCUGAACGGGUAGAAAUCGUAUCUAGAGUGUAAAGGCAUAAGGAAGCUUGACUGUGAGACCUACAAGUCGAGCAGGGACGAAAGUCGGUCUUAGUGAUCUGACGGUGCUGAGUGGAAAGGCCGUCACUCAACGGAUAAAAGUUACUCUAGGAUAACAGGCUGAUCUCCCCCAAGAGUUCACAUCGACGGGGAGGUUUGGCACCUCGAUGUCGGCUCUUCGCAUCCUGGGGCGGUAGUCCGUCCCAAGGGUUGGGCUGUUCGCCCAUGAAAGCGGUACGCGAGCUGGGUUCAGAACGCCGUGAGACAGUUCGGUCCAUAUCCGGUGUAGGCGUUAGAAUAUUGAGAGGAGCCUUCUCUAGUACGAGAGGACCGAGAAGGACAUACCUCUGGUGUACCAGUUAUCGUGCCAACGGUAAACGCUGGGUAGCUAUGUAUGGAGUGGAUAACCGCUGAAAGCAUCUAAGUGGGAAGCCCACCUCAAGAUAAGUA
rnacentral:rRNA from 1 species